AACGAACGCUGGCGGCAUGCCUAACACAUGCAAGUCGAACGAAGUCUUCGGACUUAGUGGCGCACGGGUGCGUAACGCGUGGGAAUCUGCCCUUGGGUGCGGAAUAACUUCUCGAAAGGGAUGCUAAUACCGCAUAAUGUCGUAAGACCAAAGAUUUAUCGCCCAAGGAUGAGCCCGCGUAAGAUUAGCUAGUUGGUGGGGUAAAAGCCUACCAAGGCGGCGAUCUUUAGCUGGUCUGAGAGGAUGAUCAGCCACACUGGGACUGAGACACGGCCCAGACUCCUACGGGAGGCAGCAGUGGGGAAUAUUGGACAAUGGGCGAAAGCCUGAUCCAGCAAUGCCGCGUGAGUGAUGAAGGCCCUAGGGUUGUAAAGCUCUUUUACCAGGGAUGAUAAUGACAGUACCUGGAGAAUAAGCUCCGGCUAACUCCGUGCCAGCAGCCGCGGUAAU
rnacentral:rRNA from 1 species